rnacentral:lncRNA from 1 species
ACUGGGCGGAGGAGUGGUUGAGAGGCUGACUCCGUUUUCUCUGGGUUCCCUCCAGGGCCUGUGCAGCUGGACAGGGGCCAGGGCGCCUGCCCCCAACCCAGGGAGGAACCUGACAGUGGAGACUCAGACCACCAGCUCCAUCUCCCUGAGCUGGGAGGUCCCCGAUGGCCUAGACUCACAGAACUCCAACUACUGGGUUCAGUGUACUGGAGACGGCGGCACAACAGAGACUCGAAACACAACAGCCACCAACGUCACCGUGGAUGGCCUUGGACCCGGGUCAUUGUAUACGUGUUCUGUGUGGGUGGAGAAAGACGGAGUAAAUAGCUCUGUGGGGACUGUCACUACUGCCACAGCUCCCAACCCAGUGAGGAACCUGAGAGUGGAGGCUCAGACCAACAGCUCCAUCGCCCUGACCUGGGAGGUCCCCGACGGCCCAGACCCACAGAACUCCACCUACGGGGUUGAGUACACUGGAGAUGGUGGCAGAGCAGGGACUCGAAGCACAGCACACACUAACAUCACCGUGGAUGGACUUGAACCCGGGUGUUUGUAUGCGUUUUCCAUGUGGGUGGGAAAGAAUGGAAUCAACAGCUCCCGGGAGACUCGAAAUGCCACCACAGCUCACAACCCAGUGAGGAACCUGAGAGUGGAGGCUCAGACCACCAGCUCCAUCUCCC